CGGGGGUUUGUCCCGACCCUAGUUAUGUCAUGUAUAUCCUAGAGGCUUUGUAGACAUAAGGAAGGGUAAAGUCAUGGAAGUUUAUAUAGUAACGUUAUAUUUGUAUAUGUGUAUAUAUAUAUAUAUAUUUGUGUGUGUUGUGCUGAUACAGGUAAUUAGACCCUUCUAUAUGCAACGAAGUGCUGUCCAAAUUUUUGGUGACAUGUAAGUGAAAGUACAGGUAUUUGAAUGGGUUCUCCCGGGCCUUCUCGGCUUCGGGUGCCUGUCCGGCCCGAUAGGAUUUUGGGGCGUGACAUAGCCCCUCUAGGUC
rnacentral:lncRNA from 1 species